rnacentral:rRNA from 1 species
CACGUAGGGGCCAAGCGUUGUCCGGAUUCAUUGGGCGUAAAGAGCUCGUAGGCGGUUCAGUUAGUCGGGUGUGAAAUCUCCGGGCUCAACCCGGAGGGGCCACCCGAUACUGCUGUGACUCGAGUCCGGUAGGGGAGUGGGGAAUUCCUGGUGUAGCGGUGAAAUGCGCAGAUAUCAGGAGGAACACCGGUGGCGAAGGCGCCACUCUGGGCCGGUACGGACGCUGAGGAGCGAAAGCGUGGGUAGCAAACAGG